CCUCCUUUUCACCCGCGAAGAGCCACUGCCUACCCCGCAUCUUUCUUCUGCCCCGAUUCAACCGGCUCUCUUCUCCCCAAGAUUACAGCCCCGAUUGGAACGACUGGCGGCGGCAGAUCGGGGGAGGUCACCCUACAGGCCGAGCUCGGAUCCACCCAAACAUCCAGCCCCGCGAGCACCCGGCCCUCUUCUCCCCCAACUGCAGCGACCCGUGAUGCCAGAUUGAAGGAGGCUGCCCCGCCGCCGAGGUUGGACCCACCGCAUCAACCCGCCCAGUGAGCACCCGGCUCUCUUUUCCCCAGCGACCGACGACUUUUCGCUCUAGGAAGGGGCUUUGAGAGAUGAAGAGGAAGCCACUCUUGCUAUGUCCAAAGCAAUGGUAAUAUAUCGUGUGGACUUACAUCUUGAAUAAUGUGUACAUCAGUGUGCAUUCACUGGCUUUAAUUAGGUCUUAUGUUUCCACUUUCAGCAAAAUUGUAAGCAUUCCAAAUACCUUACUUCUAGUCCUAUGUCUAUCGUAUCUUGUCAGUAUAUAUGGAGUGGUAAUGUUAGAUUUUCAUAUAUAGGAAAACGGCAAGUACAAUAGUCAGGAGCCAAGUCCCAUUGAGUUUUUCAAAGAGACCCAUACUAACAGCAUGAGCGAGCCGACACAUCUAGCUUAUAAUGCAAUGGAAAAGAAAAGGGAAACACAAUCAAAAGUGACAACCAGUGUUUGAUUCAAUGAUUGUGGCUGAAGUUCUAAAGGAAGAAAACGCCCAUAGCACCUUCCUUUCCAGCAUGAGUUAUGCAUCAAGAUCCGGGAGAUUUGGGAACUCUAAUUCAUCAGCAAGGAUCUGAGUUCUAGAAGAAAGAAUUGAGCAAGAGGAUAAAGAGGCGAGAGAUGCAAAUGACAGGCACUGAGAGGAGUUAGUGGUGAGACUUGAAGCACAAGCGAGAGAAUUUGAAGAGGUGUAGAGGAAGCAACACGAAUAAUUGGAAGAUGUGAAGAAGAUCGAGCAAGAGAAGAAUGAAGCCUGGCAAAAGAAGCAACAAGAGACGGAUAUCCUGAUUGGUUUUCUCUUAAGGGCUCAAGCAACUUAGCAAGCAACUUAGCAGUCCUAAUCCAAACUUAAUGAUGCAUGAAGGCCAUCCUUUUGCGAUGGAAAGAUAGUUGUUGAAUCAUACAUUGCAAUCAUCACGAUAACACAUGUGGUCUUUACUUAUCUAAAUAUUGCUUUUCAACUUGUCUAUUCUUCUGUCAAACUCGUGAGUCAGUGUUAAUUUUUACUAUGAAACACAAGAGGACGAAUUGGCUGAGACGAUUAAAUAUAUAAUAUCAUAAAUUUAUGA